GUAAGGAUGGCCCCCUCCCGUCCGCAGCACCUCCACGUGGAUCUCGAGGCAGGGUAGCACUAAUCAGCAGCCACACUCUCUUGAGAUGUAGGGUGGAGGCAGCCACUGCAGCCCCCAGUCAACCACAUAAUCACAAGAUAGAUGCAGAUCCUAAGAAGAGAGCUGCCCCAACAUACCUCAAAAGGGGCCCAACUG